CAUGGGGGACCUGUGCUGAAAUGAUGUGUCUUCACACUGCAGCCCAUGGGAAGGAGUCACAUUGGAGAAGUUGGUGGAGGACUGUCUCCUGGGGAAGGGACCCCAUGCUGGAGCACGACAACAGUAAGAGGAGUCCUCCACCUGAGGAGCCUCCCAGGAAAGUUGCAGCAGUUUACUGCCAGAGAGCAGCAUCUUCCCUGCUCCAUCAGGGAGCUGAGAGUCACCCCAACACAGGGAAGCUCCUGCUAUGAAAAAUGCUCAUCUCUUCUCUUCCACAAAAGCUCCUGUGAGCUGGUCAAGCAAAACUAAAACCAGGACCUCUGUGCUUGACUGACCUGCACUGCAGUUUGAAGCACCAAGUGAACAAAGACUGGACUUUCUGUUCAAAACCAUCAGUAUUCUACUACACAAGUUUUUCAUACGUUGACAGAAAUAGUCAGAAUUU